rnacentral:rRNA from 1 species
CACUAUAUCACAUGCCACCCUGAACACGCUUGAUCCCGUCUGAUCUCAGAAGCUAAGCAGGGUCGGGCCUGGUUAGUACUUGGAUGGGAGACCACCUAGGAAGACCAGGUGCUGUAGGUG